rnacentral:lncRNA from 1 species
UUGGGAGUUGUGGGGGGUGAUUGUGGGGUGGGCUCCUCCAGAAGUGAUUAGGGUGAAGGACUGGAAGUUUUCUGUAUUCCUUAAGACUUGUUCUCUGUUUCUCACUGAAGGUGAGGAAUUCAAUGUUUAGGAGCAUAUAGGAAGGGGUUGGACAGACAGAAGGACCGACUGCCCUUACCCGGAAGGCAUUCUAGUACUGUUCUUCCAAACUGCUUUAAAUAUUAAAAGUCAGUUCUUUUAUAAUUUGAAUAAGUGCUUCGGGAGUCAGAAAGCAAGCUGGCCUCGAGCCAUAAAGCUCUGUCGUCCCUUGCCUUGUCACGAUAACCAACCUGGCAUCAUGACCUGUUGUACUCACCUUUUACCGUGUGGAGGCUGAGGUGGGGGUGGUGAAGGUUUUUGCCUCCAUGUCUUUUUUUUUUUUUUUUCCCCUUUCGGAGCUGGGAACCGAACCCAGGGCCUUGCGCUUGCUAGGCAAGCGCUUUACCACUGAGCUAAAUCCCCAGCCCCUUGCCUCCAUGCCUGUGGAAGCCAAACGCGUGACUAAGAUCCUCUCUAAUCAGGAGUUAAGAGUGCUUGGUGUUGAACCCAGGUCCUGGAAGAGCAGCCAGUGCAUGGAGCCAUUUCUCCAGCUGCUACAAUGGCGUCCACUUCUCAGGGUUAGGGGGCAGAGUAACACCCACUCUCAAAAAAAAAAAAACAAAAAACCCUACAUUCCUAAAGGCUUGGCUUUGUUCAUUUGAUGGGGAAUGCCUGGAACCAGAGGCUGGGUGUGGAGGGAAACAUCCUGCUUUUGUGGAGUUGAGUCUGACACAUGUCCAGUGUAUCCUAAACAGUGUUCCUUCUGGUUAGUGGGCAGGCUUGGUCUCUGGGAGAGUGAUGUGGGACCUGGUGUGGGUGGGAUUAUCAGGAUCUCUAACGGAGGCAGGCUCUAGCCAUCCCAGCCUCCAGGGUGCUGGGAGACCAGAUGAGCCAACACGUGCACGGGGCUGGGGGCUGGGCAGUUAGAGCGCUGGCUGCUCUUCCAGAGGCUCCAGUCAAUGACCAACACUCAGCAUCCGUACCUCUGGUCACUGCUUGCACGCGUGGCACAGACAUACCUUGCAAGCAAACGCUCAUAAACAAACCACAAUACAUAGGGGCUGGAGAGAGCCCAGCUGUCAAAAGCACUGACUGCUUUCAGAGGUUAAAUUCCCAGUGACCACUUGGUGGCUCACAACCAUCUGGAAUGAGGUCCACUCUCUUCUGGUGUGUCUGAAGACAGCGACAGUGCACUCCUAAGUAAAUGAUUAAACCCAAGUUUCUGCCUAACCCCACUCUGACAUAUGAGAUCCACUCUCUCUUCUGGUGUGUCUGAGGGCAGCGACAGUGCACUCCUAAAUAAAUGAUUAAACCCAAGUUUCUGCUUAAUUCCCAACUCUAACAUCAGGGUGUGGGGCGGAGAUACGCUCAUGUGGUGUUGAGGAAAGCAGACAUUGACCUCACCAAGAGGGCUGGGGAGCUCACGGAGGACGAGGUGGAGCGUGUGAUCACCAUCAUGCAGAACCCACGACAAUACAAGAUCCCUGACUGGUUCUUGAACAGACAGAAGGACGUGAAGGAUGGGAAGUAUAGCCAGGUUCUGGCCAACGGUCUAGACAACAAGCUGCGUGAGGACCUGGAGCGGCUGAAGAAAAUCCGAGCCCAUAGAGGGCUGCGCCACUUUUGGGGCCUUCGUGUCCGGGGUCAGCACACCAAGACCACUGGCCGCAGGGGCCGUACUGUGGGUGUGUCCAAGAAGAAAUGAGUCUUUGGGCCUUUGCUGUUAAUAAAUAGUUUAUAUACCAAUG